ensembl:misc_RNA
ACAGCUUUGGACAAAAGUCUAUAGCCAGUGCAUUCGUAACUCCCCAUCCACAAGAGCUGACUGUGGCUCUGGGAAGACAUUUUCCUCAUUUGAUUUCUUUUUUCUUAUAGUCUUCUUGUCCAGUUCUCAGGUGUUUGCCACCUCUUAGAAUUUCACCUGUGUGGGUCCCGUGUUUGAGAAAGUCCCAGGACUUGUCAGCUGGUAUAGGCCUCAUAAAAGACAGUUCU